rnacentral:tRNA from 8 species
GGGUCGUUAGCUCAGUUGGUAGAGCAGUUGACUUUUAAUCAAUUGGUCGCAGGUUCGAAUCCUACACGACCCACCA